GACGAACGCUGGCGGCGUGCUUAACACAUGCAAGUCGAGCGGUAAGGCCCUUUCGGGGGUACACGAGCGGCGAACGGGUGAGUAACACGUGGGUGACCUGCCCUCAGCUCUGGGAUAAGCCUGGGAAACCGGGUCUAAUACCGGAUAUGACUCCAUGACGCAUGUUGUGGGGUGGAAAGCCUUGUGCGGCUGAGGAUGGGCCCGCGGCCUAUCAGCUUGUUGGUGGGGUNAUGGCCUACCAAGGCGACGACGGGUAGCCGGCCUGAGAGGGCGACCGGCCACACUGGGACUGAGACACGGCCCAGACUCCUACGGGAGGCAGCAGUGGGGAAUCUUGCGCAAUGGGCGAAAGCCUGACGCAGCGACGCCGCGUGAGGGAUGACGG
rnacentral:rRNA from 1 species